rnacentral:rRNA from 1 species
ACACACCGCCCGUCACUCUCCCCAAGACUAAAAAAUUUUACACUUAAUAAUAAGUACUACCAGCAAAGGGGAGGCAAGUCGUAACAUGGUAAGUGUACCGGAAGGUGUACUUGGGUAAAUCAAGAUGUGGCUAAAUAGAAAAGCACCUCUCUUAC